rnacentral:misc_RNA from 1 species
GAUGAAGAACGUAGCGAAAUGCGAUAAGUAAUGUGAAUUGCAGAAUUCAGUGAAUCAUCGAAUCUUUGAACGCACCUUGCACCCUUUGGACUGCUCCAAAGGGUAUGCUCGUUUGAGUGUCAUUGUACUCUCACACUCUCUGAUCCUUUGGAUUUGGGGAGCAGUGGACUUGGGUGCUUGCUGCUUCCUUGUGGCUCACCUGAAAUGCAUCAGUGCAUCUCUCGAUUGGACAUAGUACGGCGUGAUAAGUGUCUUCGCCGGCACCUCAUAUGAGGGUGGCCGAUCGGGAGCUCUGUGCUUUCAAACCGUCUUCGGACAACGCUGACAACUUGAGCUCAAAUCGAGUAGGACUACCCGCUGAACUUAAGCAUAUCAAUAAGCGGAGGA